rnacentral:rRNA from 1 species
UCCUAGUACAAUGGCCGGUACGACGUAGGGUACGCCAACCCGCGAGGGGGAGCCAAUCCCACAAAGCCGGUCGUAGUCCGGAUCGCAGUCUGCAACUCGACUGCGUGAAGUCGGAAUCGCUAGUAAUCGCGGAUCAGCAUGUCGCGGUGAAUACGUUCCCGGGUCUU